rnacentral:misc_RNA from 1 species
ACAAACUUGGUCAUUUAGAGGAAGUAAAAGUCGUAACAAGGUUUCCGUAGGUGAACCUGCGGAAGGAUCAUUAGUGAAUAACAUGUCAAAGUCUCUGUUUCGGCAAGGCUUUGACAAUCACAUCCAUAACACCUGUGAACUGUAAGAUGCUUAGUGUUUCGGCACGGCAUCUGCCCUUUAUAAACAAUUAAUGUAACAAAUGUAGUCUUAUUAUAAUCAAUAAAACUUUCAACAACGGAUCUCUUGGCUCUCGCAUCGAUGAAGAACGCAGC